rnacentral:rRNA from 1 species
GACGAACGCUGGCGGCGUGCUUAACACAUGCAAGUCGAACGGUGAAGCGCCUUCCUUUUUGGUGGGUGUGGAUGAGUGGCGAACGGGUGAGUAACACGUGAGUAACCUGCCCCCUUCUUCUGGAUAACCGCAUGAAAGUGUGGCUAAUACGGGAUAUUCUGGGUCUGUCGCAUGAUGGGUCUGGGAAAGAUAUUGUUUCGGUGGGGGAUGGGCUCGCGGCCUAUCAGCUUGUUGGUGGGGUGAUGGCCUACCAAGGCUGUGACGGAUAGCCGGCCUGAGAGGGUGGACGGUCACACUGGGACUGAGACCAGGCCCAGACUGCGAUGGGAGGCAGCAGUGGGGAAGAGUGCACAGUGGGGGAAAGCCUGAUGCAGCGACGCCGCGUGAGGAAUGGAGGCGUUCGGGGUGUGAACCUCUUUCGCCAGUGAAGCAGGCCUGCCUCGUUUGUGGGUGGGGUGACGGUAGCUGGAUAAGAAGCGCCGGCUAACUACGUG